GUUGAAACACCAGUUCCCAUAUGAUCACCAAAGUUAAGCAAUAAGCUUAGUUACUACCUAGAUGGGUGACCACUUGGGAAUACCAGAUGCUGUAAG